AGAGUUUGAUCAUGGCUCAGGACGAACGCUGGCGGCGUGCUUAACACAUGCAAGUGGAGCGACGAACCGGGCUUCGGCCCGGGGCAAAGCCGCGAACGGGUGAGUAUCACGUGGGUAACCUGCCCCGAUGACCGGGACAACCCGAGGAAACUCGGGCUAAUACCGGAUGUUCUCGCUUCUCGUAAGGGAAGUGAGUAAAGAUAGCUUCGGCCUUCGCAUCGGGACGGGCCCGCGGCCCAUUAGCUUGUUGGUGAGGUAACGGCUCACCAAGGCUCCGAUGGGUAGCUGGUCUGAGAGGAUGGCCAGCCACAUUGGGACUGAGAGACGGCCCAGACUCCUACGGGAGGCAGCAGUGGGGAAUCUUGCGCAAUGGCCUAACGGCUGACGCAGCGACGCCGCGUGCGGGAGGACGCCCUUCGGGGUGUAAACCGCUGUUGCCCGGGACGAACAGCUGGUCUCGACCAGCCUGACGGUACCGGGUGAGGAAGCACCGGCUAACUCCGUGCCAGCAGCGGCGGUAAUAC
rnacentral:rRNA from 1 species